rnacentral:lncRNA from 1 species
AUGGAUACCGGGCGAUUCUCCCGUCCACUGGCAAGUCACGACAACGGGCGCUGCUCCACUCCCUGCAACUGAUUCCACGUGGCGAGCUGCGGUGAUGGCCAUGAUUCCACUCCACUACCUCUCGCAAUAAAUUCCCCUGACCACAGGCGGCCCACUACCAGACGGUUACAGGUGUCGCCAUCAAUCCGUUGCCCCCUCCGCCUAUAAAAGGGGGACUCAGAUACGUUAUUCUCUAAGCUCAUCUCUUAUCUCAAAACUCUGCUAAAUUCUCCGUUCGAGCACUCCAUUCUUGUUGAGGCAGAGAACUGACUUGAGCGUCGGAGGGUCUUGCCGGAGCAACCCCACCUCCGGUUUAGACUUCCCUUACAGGUCCCAGUGGCGACCGCGGCUUCCCC